rnacentral:lncRNA from 10 species
UGACAAAUGAAGUGAAAAUGGCCAGUUCCUGCCUUAACUGAUGACAUUACCUUGUGAAAUUCCUUCUCAUGGCUCAUCCUGGCUCAAAAGCUCCCCCACUGAGCACCUUGUGACCCCCACCCCUGCCAGACAGAGAACAACCCCCUUUGACUGUAAUUUUCCACUACCUACCCAAAUCCUACAAAACAGCCCCAUCCCUAUCUCCCUUUGCUAACUCUCUUUUCCGACUCAGCCCGCCUGUACCCAGGUGAUUAAAAAGCUUUAUUGCUCACACAAAGCCUCUUUGGUGGUCUCUUCACACAGACCCAUGUGAAAUUUGGUGCCGUGACUCAGAUCGGGGGACCUCCCUUGGGAGAUCAAUCCCUGGUCCUCCUGCUCUUUGCUACAUGAGAAAGAUCCACCUACGACCUCUGGUCCUCAGACCAACCAGUCCAAGGAAUAUCUCACCAAUUUUAAAUUGGACAGCAAUGUCAGACCUCUGAACCCAAGCAUGCACGUAUUCAUCCAGAUUGCCUGAAGUAACUGAAGAAUGACAAAAGAAGUGAAAAUGGCCAGUUCCUGCCUUAAUUGAUGACAUCACCUUGUGAAAUUCCUUUUCCUGGCUCAUCCUGGCUCAAAAGCUCCCCCACUGAGCACCUUAUGACCCCCACCCCUGCCAGCCAGAGAACAACCUCCUUUGACUGUAAUUUUCCACUACCUACCCAAAUCCUAUAAAACAGCCCCACCCCUAUCUCCCUUCACUGGCUUUCUUUUCGGACUCAGCUUGCCUGCACCCAGGUGAAAUAAACAGCUUUAUUGCUCACACAAAGCCUGUUUGGUGAACUCUUCACACACAAGUGCAUGAAAUUUCCCAUCUGAAAGUAUUUGGUGCAUUCUUAUAUUAUGAAAUAUAAAGUUUAAGAAUCUUCACAUGGCAUUUAUUGCAUUGAUUUUUAUCCAGAUCUUUCAAAAACCUGUUCCCCAGGAACUCCAUUCAUAUACUAGACACAGGAUUAUUCUACCACAUAAGAGUGUGCACAUAAAUUUAGUAUACCAGAGAAUGCAUAUUACUACCCAAUUUUUAAACCAAAAUAUAUAUAUUUUUUCAUUUAUUUAACACCUUA